AUUGAACGCUGGCGGCAGGCCUAACACAUGCAAGUCGAGCGGCAGCGGGAAAGUAGCUUGCUACUUUUGCCGGCGAGCGGCGGACGGGUGAGUAAUGCCUGGGAAAUUGCCCAGUCGAGGGGGAUAACAGUUGGAAACGACUGCUACUACCGCAUACGCCCUACGGGGGAAAGCAGGGGACCUUCGGGCCUUGCGCGAUUGGAUAGGCCAAGGUGGGAUUAGCUAGUUGGUGAGGUAAUGGCUCACCAAGGCGACGAUCCCUAGUUGGUCUGAGAGGAUGAUCAGCCACACUGGAACUGAGACACGGUCCAGACUCCUACGGGAGGCAGCAGUGGGGAAUAUUGCACAAUGGGGGAAACCCUGAUGCAGCCAUGCCGCGUGUGUGAAGAAGGCCUUCGGGUUGUAAAGCACUUUCAGCGAGGAGGAAAGGUUGAUGCCUAAUACGUAUCAACUGUGACGUUACUCGCAGAAGAAGCACCGGCUAACUCCGUGCCAGCCGCCGCGGUAACAC
rnacentral:rRNA from 1 species